AUGUUGAUGUGGACACUUGUGCAAUACAUCAUCGUAUCUCUCCCAUGCCUCAUAUAAUGAUUCACCCACAAAUUGGAUGAAGGUUGAGAUAUCAUUCCUUAACUU